GAUGAACGCUGGCGGCGUGCCUAAUACAUGCAAGUAGAACGCUGAAGGAGGAGCUUGCUCUUCUGGAUGAGUUGCGAACGGGUGAGUAACGCGUAUGUAACCUGCCUGGUAGCGGGGGAUAACUAUUGGAAACGAUAGCUAAUACCGCAUGACAACAGUUAUUGCAUGAUAACUGUUUAAAAGGGGCAACUGCUCCACUACCAGAUGGACGUGCGUUGUAUUAGCUAGUUGGUGAGGUAACGGCGCACCAAGGCGACGAUACAUAGCCGACCUGAGAGGGGGAUCGGCCAAACUGGGACUGAGACCAGGCCCAGACUCCUACGGGAGGCAGCCGGAGGGGAUCUUCGGCAAUGGAAGGAAGGCUGACCGGGCAACGCCGCGGUAGGGAAGAAGGUUUUCGGAUCGUAAAGCUCUGUUGUAAGGGAAGAAAGAGUGUGAGAGUGGAAAGUUCACACUGUGACGGUAUCUUACCAGAAAGGGACGGCUAACUACGUG
rnacentral:rRNA from 1 species